GAUGAACGCUGGCGGCGUGCUUAACACGUGCAAGUCGAACGAAGCAUUUCGGUCUUAAUCUUCGGAAGCGGACUGAGCUGACUGAGUGGCGGACGGGUGAGUAACGCGUGGGUAACCUGCCCUGUACAGGGGGAUAGCAGUUAGAAAUGACUGCUAACACCGCAUAAGCGCACAGGAAGGCAUCUUGCGGUGUGAAAAUAUUUAUAGGUACAGGAUGGGCCCGCGUCUGAUUAGCCAGUUGGCAAGGUAACGGCCUACCAAAGCAACGAUCAGUAGCCGGCUUGAGAGGGUGAACAGCCACAUUGGGACUGAGACACGGCCCAAACUCCUGCGGGAGGCAGCAGUGGGGAAUAUUGCACAAUGGGCGAAAGCCUGAUGCAGCGACGCCGCGUGAGUGAAGAAGGAUUUCGGUAUGUAAAGCUCUAUCAGCAGGGAAGAAAAUGACUGUACCUGACUAAGAAGCCCCGGCUAACUACGUGCCAGCCGCCGCAGUAA
rnacentral:rRNA from 1 species